rnacentral:rRNA from 1 species
CCUACGGGGGGCAGCAGUGAGGAAUAUUGGUCAAUGGACGAGAGUCUGAACCAGCCAAGUAGCGUGAAGGAUGAAUGCCCUAUGGGUUGUAAACUUCUUUUGUAUGGGAAUAAACUGUUCCACGUGUGGGAUUUUGUAUGUACCAUAUGAAUAAGGAUCGGCUAACUCCGUGCCAGCAGCCGCGGUAAUACGGAGGAUCCGAGCGUUAUCCGGAUUUAUUGGGGGUAAAGGGAGCGUAGGUGGGUUGUUAAGUCAGUUGUGAAAGUUUGCGGCUCAACCGUAAAAUUGCAGUUGAAACUGGAAGUCUUGAAUACAGUAGAGGUGGGCGGAAUUCGUGGUGUAGCGGUGAAAUGCUUAGAUAUCACGAAGAACUCCGAUUGCGAAGGCAGUUCACUGGACUGCAACUGACACUGAGGCUCGAAAGUGUGGGUAUCAAACAGGAUUAGAUACCCUAGUAGUC